rnacentral:rRNA from 1 species
UACGUAGGGUGCAAGCGUUAAUCGGAAUUACUGGGCGUAAAGCGUGCGCAGGCGGUUAUGCAAGACAGAUGUGAAAUCCCCGGGCUUAACCUGGGAACUGCACUUGUGACUGCAAGGCUGGAGUACGGCAGAGGGGGAUGGAAUUCCGCGUGUAGCAGUGAAAUGCGUAGAUAUGCGGAGGAACACCGAUGGCGAAGGCAAUCCCCUGGGCCUGUACUGACGCUCAUGCACGAAAAGCGUGGGGAGCAAACAGG